rnacentral:rRNA from 1 species
UACGUAGGUGGCAAGCGUUGUCCGGAUUUAUUGGGUUUAAAGGGUGCGUAGGCGGCUUGAUAAGUCAGUGGUGAAAGCCGAUCGCUUAACGAUCGAACUGCCAUUGAUACUACCAGGCUUGAGUAUAGAUGAGGUAGGCGGAAUUGACAGUGUAGCGGUGAAAUGCAUAGAUAUUGUCAAGAACACCAAUUGCGAAGGCAGCUUACUAAGUUAUAACUGACGCUGAGGCACGAAAGUGCGGGGAUCAAACGGG